rnacentral:misc_RNA from 1 species
UCACAUGACAUGGGAUGGAGAAAGGUUAUGGCUGUACGUUUUAUGUGCGUUAGGGUUUUAAUAAUAUUGUAUGGUAAUUAGUAUACCAUUAAACAAAAGGAGAUAUAGGUAACUUAGAAACUGUUAUAUAGGAAACCAAUUACCAAGCAUGUAAUAUUAUAAUACUCUUAAGAUAAGUGUACAGGGAAAAGUUAAUUUAUUGUUUAAUACAAGCUUAGGCCUAUGUGGAGUGAAGACAAGACGACAGGCAACAAGUUUCAUCUCAAGAUCGAAAAAUAAGAAAUUUUAUUAUUGGGUUGUAGCAGUGGAAUAAGUUAAAAAGUUUCACGAUGUCAUUUGGAAAUCAAGGCAAAUAUCCAAAUUAUGGAUCCACUGGACUCAAAGAUAAUAGUGGUGGAUUAAAUAGAGGACAGGAACCUUCUUUUAAUCAACUAUCAGACACCAUCAGUUCGAACAUAUUUGCCAUCAACAAUAGUGCCACAUCACUGGAUCGAGCACAGAAACAACUUGGAACAAAAACCGACAGCUCAUCAUUCCGGGAUAGAAUUCAUGCAACACAACAGUUGGCAAAUGAAACAGUCAGUGAUACCACUAUUUGUCUCAAACAGUUAUCAGAGCUGGUGGAAAAGGGAAAUAAGCAACAGAAACUACAGUUGGAAAGAUUAAAAAAUGAAUUUAAAGACACAGUUCAAAGAUAUAGCUCUGUACAGAAGCUAGUUGCAACAAAAAUGAAAUACACCUUAUUAAAUGUCAUGCCAAAUCCCAUACAUCCCACUGUAGAAUGGGGCAUUGAAGAUGAUAAUGAAGAAAAUCAAGCUCUCCUUGAAGAAGAGAAACAGAGAAUGCAGAAACAGAAACAGUUAGAUUCAGAACUAGAAGUUGAACAGGCUUUACUAGAAGAGAGAGAACAGAGGAUUAGAGAAAUAGAAAGUGACAUGUUGGAUGUUAACCAGAUUUUUCGUGAUCUAGCCUCAAUGGUUCAUGAACAAGGAGAAGUAAUAAAUACAAUAGCAGAUAAUAUUGAUAAUACAUGCUACAAUGUUGAGGAAGGAGCCAGCCAGCUACAGAAAGCCAGUGAAUACCAGAAAAAGUACAGAAAAAAAUGUGUUGCUUCAUUAUUAUUUUGUUAGCAGUUGGUUUAGUGGUGGCACUCAUUGUUGGCUUAUCUGUGAAGAAGUGAGAGUUUUUCAGUUAAAUCAAACAGAAACUUGUACUUUUUUUGUCAGAUGAAGACUGAUGUUGUACUCUAUCAAAAUGGUUACUAUUCUAACAUCAAAAUGCAUUAUAACCAACAAUUGGACUACACAGGAAUCAAACAGCUCUGACCAUUUUUCACCAUUUACAAGACUGACGGAACCAAAGAGCUCUGAGAAUUUUUCACAAUUAACUGGUUUGAUGGAAUCAAACAAUUCUGACCAUUUUUCACUAUUUAAUGGUCUGAUGUAAUUAAACAACUCUUACCAUUUUUUCACAAUUUAUUUGUCUGAUGGAAUUAAACAGCUCUGACCAUUUUUUUACUAUUCACUGGUUUGAUGGUAUCACAGAGCUCUGACCAUUUUUCACUUUAUACUAAUUUUGGUGGAAUCAAACAGCUCUGACAGUUUCUUACUCUUUGCUGCUUUUAUUUAUGCCUUAGAAUGUUGUCUGUGUUGUUUUUAUUAUAUUAAAUAUAAUGUGUACUGUGUAGACAUGUUUUUGUUGUUCGUACCAAAAGAUAUUUUUCUGUUUUUAUAUGAAUUACACUAAAAAAUGAGAUAAGAAAUUAUCUGAUUUCUUUAACUAAAUAUAUGUAAAUAUAAGCCUGUAUUUGAAAAAAAGUAUAGAUUACACAUGUUUUUAUGUUAUAACUUUCAUAUUCUUUGAAAACUUGUUACAGGUGUUUAAUUUGCUUCAGAGGUUUUUAGUUUAUUCAAAAUUCAUGUAGCAAAAUAUUUAGUAAUCUGUGCCAGUAGUCUCAGACUCGGCAACUGCUUUGUAUUUAUGAUCUUAUGUUAUUUGUGAUUUGCAAAAUAAUAAACAUUUUAGUAAUUUAAAAGCACACAUUUUGUUUAUGAACAUAUAACUUAAUGAUUAUAAUUUGUUGAUAAAACAAACUUUUGAAGGAUAGCCCUUUCUUCAGCAGUGUGAACAGAAUGAUCUAUCUUCUCAAAUGUGCAUGUAGAUUUUGGAGUGUGUUUAGCUGAAUUCUGGCUAUUUGUGAGCCCAAUUAUUUUUUAAAUUUCAAAUAGUUACUUCAUAGAUUUCAAAAACAGUAAUCAACUAUCAUUUCAUUAUAUGGAAUGCUGUUACCUUUUUGUUAUUCAUUGGUGAAACAAUCUUAUUGGUAUAGUAUAAUUCUGUGUAUUUAACUGUCAGGUGCUAUUAAACAAGUUUCAUAGAAUAUUAUGGCUUUUUAAACUUAAAAAAAAAUGAAGUCAAACUUCACAGCACCAGAAUGAUUGCUGAGAUGGUUAUUAUACUAAUAUAGUAAAUUUUUUCUUAUUGUUGAUUUAUAUUCAUCAGUAGAUGAAAAGUGUAGUAUGCUUGGAGCCCUGUAGCUAUUGAAAUAAUAAAAGGAAAACAAUUAUGUUUCUUCUACAUCUGGUGCAGCCUAGUGCACUGUAAAAUAUAGCACUUCUGAUAACUGAACCAUAUGUAAUAUUUCCUUUUACUCUUAACUGGAAGUUGGCUGAUGGCAUGUUUACUUCUAUGUAGUCAAGUAAGACUGGUUUUCUUAAUAAUUAUGGUGAGUAGUCAUUCAUCAUUAGGUUUGAUGCAGAAACCAGGUGAAGUCAUUACAUGUAAGAUUAAUGUAAUUUUUAAUUGUAACUAAAAGCUGCAUCUCUGUGAUUGAGAAAUAAAAUUACAAAUGACUA